rnacentral:rRNA from 1 species
UCGGGAGGAACGCUGGGGGCGUGCUUAACACAUUGCAAGUCGUACGAGUGCCGUCCUUUGUGGGGGUGAGGCGAGUGGCGGGCGGGUGAGUAACACGUGAGCAACCUGUUCCUGUUGGGGGGGACAACCCGUGGAAAGGCGGGCUAAUACCGCAUGGACCGAGGACCCUGAGUGGGGACUUUGGGAAAGAUGGCCUCUUUACAAUGCCUGUCGUGCAGGGAGGGGCUCGCGGGCUAUCAGCUAGUUGGUGAGGUAACGGCUCACCAAGGCGGCGACGGGUAGGGGGUGUGAGAGGACGACCCCCCACAUUGGAACUGAGACACGGUCCAGACUCCUACGGGAGGCAGCAGUGGAGAAUUUUGGGCAAUGGGCGCAAGCCUGACCCAGCGACGCCGCGUGUGGGAGGAAGCCUUUCGGGGUGUAAACCACUGUCAGGGGGGACGAACUGCCGGGGCGGGAAUACGGCUCCGGUUUGACGGACCCCCAAAGGAAGCGCCUGCGACG